UUAUGGCUCAGGACGAACGCUGGCGGCAUGCCUAACACAUGCAAGUCGAACGGAGCAGAUCCUUCGGGAGUCUACUUAGUGGCGAACGGGUGAGUAACGCGUGAGCAACCUGCCUUGGCGAGGGGGAUAACACUUGGAAACAGGUGCUAAUACCGCAUAAGACCACACUUCCGCAUGGAAGAGGGGUCAAAGGAGCAAUCCGCGCUGAGAGGGGCUCGCGUCCCAUUAGGUAGAUGGCGGGAUAACAGCCCACCAUGCCGACGAUGGGUAGCCGAGCUGAGAGGCUGAUCGGCCACACUGGAACUGAGACACGGUCCAGACUCCUACGGGAGGCAGCAGUGGGGAAUAUUGGGCAAUGGGCGAAAGCCUGACCCAGCAAUGCCGCGUGAGGGAAGAAGGUCUUCGGAUUGUAAACCUCUGUCCUUGGUGACGAAGGAAGUGACGGUAGCCAAGGAGGAAGCCCCGGCUAACUACGUGCCAGCCGCAGC
rnacentral:rRNA from 1 species